UACGUAGGGUGCGAGCGUUGUCCGGAAUUACUGGGCGUAAAGAGCUCGUAGGUGGUCUGUCGCGUUGUCCGUGAAAACUCACAACUCAAUUGUGGGCGUGCGGGCGAUACGGGCAGACUGGAGUACUGCAGGGGAGACUGGAAUUCCUGGUGUAGCGGUGGAAUGCGCAGAUAUCAGGAGGAACACCGGUGGCGAAGGCAGGUCUCUGGGCCACUACUGACGCUGAGAAGCGAAAGCAUGGGGAGCGAACAGG
rnacentral:rRNA from 1 species